rnacentral:ncRNA from 12 species
CACCACUGUGGACGCUUUGAUCCGGUGUCUUGAUUUGGUCGCUUAACGUCUGGAACUUUUGACGAGGGCGCCGGGGAGCGAGUAGCGAAACCGGCCACUGGUA